AAACGACUCUCGGCAACGGAUAUCUCGGCUCUUGCAUCGAUGAAGAACGUAGCGAAAUGCGAUACUUGGUGUGAAUUGCAGAAUCCCGUGAACCAUCGAGUUUUUGAACGCAAGUUGCGCCCGAUACCAUUAGGUUGAGGGCACGCCUGCCUGGGCGUCACACACA
rnacentral:rRNA from 3 species